CAGGAGGAUGAAAUCAGAGUCAAAUGGGGCUUUUCUCCAAGAACUGACAUUACCAAAAACAACCAUUCUCUCUGAGAUCUGUUCCUUAUCCUGUGCCAGCCCUCACCAAUCCAUAUGGCUGUAAGGUACAACCACCCUCAGUCUGCUAUCCUUUUUCCUUAGGGUGCCUCUCUUCCAGACCCAAAUUUGCCUCUCAGCUCCCAAAGAGUUGUAGACAAAAUUAUCUGAGAGAUGAGUCCUCUCCUUGGUAUGAUUUCAUCAAGAAAGGGAUUAAUUUCCUCUGCCAUCACCACUCUCCUCUUCCAAUGAUGUUUACCUUGGGUGAAACAAUUCUCCUGGUUUAUGAGGUGGAGAAAAUCAGGCCCAGAAACAAGAUGUGUCUGAGCAAGAACACAAUUAUUGUAUCAUAUACCUCUCAAUGAAUUCCUAUCCGGAGCUAUACAGUUUACAUUUCCUAAAAUAUUAUAAGAAGAACAAACAAUGGAUAUUUGCAAAAUAUUAAGAUGAUAUUGCCAAUUGCAUGUUUUGCCCUUCAAUAACUGCCUUGGACCCGGGCUUUGUGCUAGGUAUUAUGCUCUUUUUGUCUAAUUCUUCCAGGUCAGAGAGCUAUUUAUUAUCUAAGUUUGUAUAAAUAAAAUAUCUAUUAGCUCAGCCAUUUAGUUAAUAACUCAUACCAGAGGCAGAUUAAGGCCUUUUGGGGCCUAUGGGCAAUAAGAGACCUUUUUACAAAAAUUUACUAACGUAAAUAUUACUAACGUAAUAUUUUUAAGUAGAUUUUUUUAAAUCAGUAUUUAAAAAAUAAAAAACAGACUUGUUACUGUCUUUAUAAAUAUUUAAUGUUCUCAUAUUCAUAUUUCACAAAAAGUAUGGAAGAGACUUUAGAGGAUACCUAUUCCAAAAUAUAAACACUCAAAAACUGCCUCAUGAUUUAUUGUCAGAGGGGCAUGGAGGUAAUCCUGGGUUCUUGAAGGCCAUGGAAGCAAAGGACAAUAAUGGUUGGAAGAACCAGAAUUUAUAUAGCAUUUGAAAGUUUAUAAACACUCUAAAGAUAUGAUUUCAUUUGAUCCUCAUAGACACCCCAAGGGGAGAUAGGUGCUUUUGUUAUUUUCACUGCACAAAGGAGGAAACUGAGUUUGAAAGAGUUGACUUAUCCAGGAGUUCAAAUCCUGCCUCAGACACUUAGUAGCUGUAAGACCAUAGGCAAGUCACUUUACUCUGUGUGCCUCAGUUUCCUCAUCUGUAGAAUGAACUAGAGAAGGAAAUGGCAAACCACUCCAGUAUCUCUGCCAAGAAAAUCCCAAAUGGAGUCACAAAGAGUCAGACAACACUGAAGAUUAUCCAAUCACAAUUUCUUAGCCCCAGGGGUAGUGUUCUGUUCACUACAUCAGCUCCUAAGCUCUAGCAUGUUAUACCGAAAAGUUCUAAGUAUUGACCAGAUUAGAGGCACAUCUCUUGUCUGAAAACCAAAUUAAGUUAGGAGUUGGCCAAAUGGGGCAAUUUUUUAAUACAGCAACCCCCUAAAUAACAGAGUAGAUGUGAUCUACUCUGACCAAAGGAGUACCUACAUGGAUGAAAUUACAAAAUUUUUAUGUUUUGAAGUAUUAAAUGUAUAUAUUAAAGUUGAAAUAAAUAAAAUUAA